rnacentral:rRNA from 1 species
AUGAACGCUAGCGGCAGGCUUAACACAUGCAAGUCGAGGGGCAGCAUAAUGGAUAGCAAUAUCUAUGGUGGCGACCGGCGCACGGGUGCGUAACGCGUAUGCAACCUACCUUUAACAGGGGGAUAACACUGAGAAAUUGGUACUAAUACCCCAUAAUAUCAUAGAAGGCAUCUUUUAUGGUUGAAAAUUCCGAUGGUUAGAGAUGGGCAUGCGUUGUAUUAGCUAGUUGGUGGGGUAACGGCUCACCAAGGCGACGAUACAUAGGGGGACUGAGAGGUUAACCCCCCACACUGGUACUGAGACACGGACCAGACUCCUACGGGAGGCAGCAGUGAGGAAUAUUGGUCAAUGGACGCAAGUCUGAACCAGCCAUGCCGCGUGCAGGAUGACGGCUCUAUGAGUUGUAAACUGCUUUUGUACGAGGGUAAACGCAGAUACGUGUAUCUGUCUGAAAGUAUCGUACGAAUAAGGAUCGGCUAACUCCGUGCCAGCAGCCGCGGUAAUACGGAGGAUUCAAGCGUUAUCCGGAUUUAUUGGGUUUAAAGGGUGCGUAGGCGGUUUGAUAAGUUAGAGGUGAAAUUUCGGGGCUCAACCCUGAACGUGCCUCUAAUACUGUUGAGCUAGAGAGUAGUUGCGGUAGGCGGAAUGUAUGGUGUAGCGGUGAAAUGCUUAGAGAUCAUACAGAACACCGAUUGCGAAGGCAGCUUACCAAACUAUAUCUGACGUUGAGGCACGAAAGCGUGGGGAGCAAACAGGAUUAGAUACCCUGGUAGUCCACGCAGUAAACGAUGAUAACUCGUUGUCGGCGAUACACAGUCGGUGACUAAGCGAAAGCGAUAAGUUAUCCACCUGGGGAGUACGUUCGCAAGAAUGAAACUCAAAGGAAUUGACGGGGGCCCGCACAAGCGGAGGAACAUGUGGUUUAAUUCGAUGAUACGCGAGGAACCUUACCCGGGCUUGAAUUGCAACUGAAUGAUGUGGAGACAUGUCAGCCGCAAGGCAGUUGUGAAGGUGCUGCAUGGUUGUCGUCAGCUCGUGCCGUGAGGUGUCGGCUUAAGUGCCAUAACGAGCGCAACCCUUAUCGAUAGUUACCAUCAGGUGAUGCUGGGGACUCUGUCGAGACUGCCGUCGUAAGAUGUGAGGAAGGUGGGGAUGACGUCAAAUCAGCACGGCCCUUACGUCCGGGGCUACACACGUGUUACAAUGGUAGGUACAGAGGGCAGCUACCCAGCGAUGGGAUGCGAAUCUCGAAAGCCUAUCUCAGUUCGGAUUGGAGGCUGAAACCCGCCUCCAUGAAGUUGGAUUCGCUAGUAAUCGCGCAUCAGCCAUGGCGCGGUGAAUACGUUCCCGGGCCUUGUACACACCGCCCGUCAAGCCAUGGGAGCCGGGGGUGCCUGAAGUUCGUGACCGCAAGGAGCGACCUAGGGCAAAACUGGUGACUGGGGCU